AUCAGAAAGACGGCCUUCAGGAAUUUGGGUCACAACUCGGUCACGAUACGUAAAUGAUUCUUUUGUAAUGCUGACCGCUCGUCCAAGUUCCAACUUUUUUGUUACAAAAAACCAAUACCUACUUCUAUUUCGUCAUGACAGAAGCUCGACUCCAUGGUGUUUCUGAGACUGAUGUCGACAUUUCAAUCGGUUCCUAUUCUGAUGUCGGCCCUGUCAUCUCACGGCAUAUUCCUGCACCGA